GGGCUUCUUCGAAACAUUCUUCAUUACCACCUUGUGCCGGUAAUACGUUUCCUUUCCCACAGUCCAUGUAUUUGUGAUUGAGUGAAGAAACUCGAUGGGGGUUUCUGCAAGAAUCGCCAUAAUUUGUUGUCAAUUUUAAAGGGCUGGUGUGUAUGUGGGAGAUGAGCCUGUAAGAAUCAAACGGGAUUGGAUGAUGCUUGAUGAUGAAAUGCAUAUUACAUGAAUGUAAAAAGUCCCAAAUGAGCAACUAUUAUCUAAUUGAAUGUUUAUAGAGUUAAUUGUCUAUGAAUAAACGAAGAAUAAACGAGUUUCCGGCUUCCAGAAAGAAUUAAGUGUGGCCGAAAUUCUAAUUUGGACCGAAUUUAAAAAAAAUAAAAGUUCAUUCAUUGUUUGACCAAGAAAAUAGUAAUGUUAAAAAUAAAAAUUUGGGAAUACUUAUUGUAUUUUUAGGCAAUUAACCCAUGUUUAUAUGUGCAUUUGUGUGUGGUUUUUCUUUCAAACUGAUAUUCCUAUUGAUUCAGAGAAAUCAAUAAAGCAGAAUGAGCAGGAAUUUCUCAACAUCAACAUGCUUUUGCAAGUUGCAACAACAAACCUUCUGGCUUGUGGUAAGGAGUGGAAGGCUUCGGUGGUUCUUGCUUAUCAGAACCUGCAAAACGAGGCUAAUUGAGUCGAACACACGCUGUUGAAACUGCACAAAACCAAGGGGUCAAUUUACCUGCAGAAUCUCCAGGCAGGCUGUGGAGUUUGCAGAAUAGGCCUACAAGAGGGGCUGUGCCUGAUAAUGUUGGCUCGGUCUGCUCAUAGUUAGACCUGUCAUCUACGAACUCGUCGUUGGCAUUUGGGCCGCCGACUAGUGCUCCAUGUAUGACGUUAGGAUUGGCCUCCGGGCGUUUGUACCAUGCCUCAAAUCCUUCAAUACACCCCACUGCUGAACGAAGGAGGGAGACGGGGGCAAUAGAUGCGCCUCUGUGAUGAACAUGGGCUGGAUAGUUGUUCCCACAGCCGACUACGUAGCUCAAGUUCUUGGGAUUCUUGCCAAGAAUGUAAUCAGCCUGCCAAAGAUUGGAUUUGUCAGUAGCAAAUUCAGCACAAAACAAGCAAGAAGAAGAUGAUUGAUAUAUAUACUUGUGAUUUUGCAAAGUUGAGAAGAUCUUGAGGCUGGAGUUGGGCUUCCGGGCAUUUCACAACGCCUUUCGCCUUUGCAAGAUACUCCGAGUAGACAGCAAUGACAAAUGCAGCAGAGGCAGAGUACUGCAGAUUGUUCCACUCCCGUAGAUAGAGCAGUCCACCUAAAGAGGAAACAUAACAACAUUGUUCAAGGAUGGGCGUUUCUUGCAAGAAUGAUGGUUGAAAAGGUUAAAAUCGAGGUGCUGCUACUGCUACUAACCAGGAGUCGUGGGCACAUUGUAGCCGUCGUUCUUCUGCAUGCAGGCGCAGGCGAAGUAAUCAGCCUUGGCUUGGUAUUGCUGCAAUGUGGAAGUGUAUGCUCCUCCACCUCCAUCCAUCAACACCUACACACAUUUCAGACCGAGAAGGUUACAGUUUUUUCGACCUUAUAAGUAGGAAAGUAGGAUUCAUUUUUGCAAGAUUUUGUGGUGCAUUACCUUUGAGAGAAGAAUCUGAACUCCAGCAUACUUGUUGUCCCAAGAGAACUCCUUCACAGCCCAUCCAGUUCCACCCAAGGAGGCACAGUUCUCUACGACAUAUUUCAGGUAAUACUCGUCACUCGUGGCGCGAUACAGCCACGUGGCAGCCCACAGCAGCUCAUCCUAGGAUGCAGGACUGUCACAGUCAGAGCAAGAAACACAACAUCUUGAAGAAAGAGAGAAUCUUGGAGAUGGAUUUAGACACAUACUGAAUAACCAGUUGAUGUGUAGAACUGCUUAGCAGAUGGAACAGAAUCAUGGUAAAAGCCUCUGAAUCUGUCUGCAAAUGAGAAGAGCUGCUUAGCAUGCACUAACAGGAGAUCGGAGUAGGCGGAGUCGUAGGGCUUGAAGGCGAGGCAGGCAGCGGCCAUGGCAGCGGCAGUUUCUCCGGUGAGGUCCGAUCCCGGAUGUUCGGGGUCUAGCUUGUACGCUGUCCUAGGAGUCGUCAUGUCCUCCGCACGCUCCCAGCAGUAAUGAUCCGACACUCCGUCUCCGACCUGAUUGUCGGAGUCGGAAAAAGUUAGUUGUGAAGUUGCCUCGUGGGUGAUCUAAUUGGUGAAGUGACAAGCUAAUGAUAGAUAGAAUGUUGUGUUACCUGUCCCCAAAGAACAUUUGGCUGAGGAUGUGCUUUGAUGAAGUAAUCAGUGCCCCAUUUGAUGGCUUCCAAAGUGGGUCCCAUUUGAUUGGACCUCACCAACUCUGCCUUAAAAUCCACAGCGCCCCAAGAUAGCAUCGUUGCAGCGAACGCCAUAGGCUGUCCGAAUUUGACAUGAUCUCCGCCGUCGUAGUAUCCUCCAACCAAGUUCACCUGUUGGUGUAGAGAAAACAUGUUUUAUGUUUAUGCACAUACUCGUGUUUUUCGCGUAAAAAAAUAAAAUAAAGAAAGUAAGGUCUAUGGUACAAACCCCUUGACCAUAACCAUCGCGGAGACCCGAAUCACCGCGCCAUUUUACGCGUUGGUUCGUGGGUAGUUUACCGGAUCGUUGUGCCUCGAAGAACAGUAACGUCUUGUCGAGGGCGUCGCCAUAGUCGAACGCAGAGACGAUGGUUGGCCGGAGAGCAAUUAAGGCAGCUAGCAAGGGCAGAAUGCAACGUGAUGAUGAGAGUCUCAUCAUCUUCUUUUUGGGUUGAGCAAGUUGUGUAGAUGAUGAAUUUCUAUGUACGAUAUGAAUAAUCUUGAUAUAUAUAGUUUGGUAAUGGAAUAAGCUUGUUUAGUAAUUA